AUACGGAGGAUCCGAGCGUUAUCCGGAUUUAUUGGGUUUAAAGGGUGCGUAGGCGGGAGAUUAAGUCGGUGGUGAAAUUUUGCAGCUCAACUGUAAAAGUGCCAUUGAUACUGGUUUCCUUGAGUGUGGAUGAAGUAGGCGGAAUUUGUGGUGUAGCGGUGAAAUGCAUAGAUAUCACGAGGAACUCCGAUUGCGCAGGCAGCUUACUAAACCAUAACUGACGCUCAGGCACGAAGGCGUGGGGAUCAAACAGGAUUAGAUACCCUGGUAGUCCACGCAGUAAACGAUGAUUACUAGCUGUUUGCGAUACAAUGUAAGCGGCUGAGCGAAAGCGUUAAGUAAUCCACCUGGGGAGUACGUUCGCAAGAAUGAAACUUAAAUGAAUUGGCGGGG
rnacentral:rRNA from 1 species